rfam:Micromonospora nigra strain DSM 43818 genome assembly, contig: Ga0070616_13
AACGCCACCGGGUCGACCGCGCGGGUCACGCUGAGGUAGUCGCGGAUGGCGGUGCCGUGCCGCCCCUC